rnacentral:ncRNA from 1 species
ACUUACAUAGUGAUAUGUAACUGAACUAUCAGAAAUCAGCAGAGGUCAUAGUACCACACUAUGUGCACGUAGUGCGGGAAGGAC